rnacentral:rRNA from 1 species
CGAACGCUGGCGGCGUGCUUAACACAUGCAAGUCGAACGCGAAAGGGACUUCGGUCCUGAGUAAAGUGGCGCACGGGUGAGUAACGCGUAGAUAACCUGUCUUCAUGUCUGGAAUAAUACGCCGAAAGGGGUACUAAUACCGGAUAUUCUUGCUUUUCAUAAGUUAUGCAAGCAAAGGUGGCCUCUGCAUAUGCUACUGCAUGAAGAGGGGUCUGCGUACCAUUAGCUAGUAGGUGGGGUAAUGGCCUACCUAGGCGACGAUGGUUAGCGGGUCUGAGAGGAUGAUCCGCCACACUGGCACUGGAACACGGGCCAGACUCCUACGGGAGGCAGCAGUGAGGAAUAUUGCGCAAUGGGGGAAACCCUGACGCAGCGACGCCGCGUGAAGUGAGGAAGGCCUUCGGGUCGUAAAGCUCUGUCAAGAGGAAAGAAGUGUACAAUGGCUAAUACCUGUUGUAUUUGACGGUACCUCUAAAGGAAGCACCGGCUAACUCCGUGCCAGCAGCCGC